GGACAUACACGUGAUACUGUCGUCAAAGCAACAGCUCUAGUAAGUUUGACUUAAUAAUUUUCUCUGCUUGUCAGCAACAAUAACUGAAUCCGUAUACAUAUUUGCAGAUUUUAAUCCUUACAGGCUCAGAAAGCACGUAUCUUGGAAUAAUUUGGACAAUGUCCCUGUUGUUGAACCACCCGAAAGAGCUGAAGAAGGCACAGGAAGAGUUGGACGUCCAUGUUGGAAGAGAUAGAUGGGUAAACGAGUCAGAUAUGAAGAAACUAAAAUACCUUCGAGCCAUUGUCAAAGAAACUCUACGGAUUUACCCACCGGGUCCUGUAACAGGAAUUCGGGAAGCCAUGGAAGAUUGUGAAAUUGGUGGUUAUCAUGUCCCGAAAGGCACGCGUUUGAUCGUGAACAUAUGGAAGCUGCACAGAGACCCUCGGAUGUGGGAAAAUCCGUGCGAGUUCAGACCAGAAAGGUUUCUGACAACUCAUGCUGAUGUUGAUGUCAACACUCAACAUUUUGAGUAUGUUCCGUUCAGCUUCGGAAGAAGAUCGUGCCCUGGAAUGACAUCUGGCUUACAAAUUGUUCAAUUAACGCUUGCUCGGAUUCUUCAGGGGUUUGAUUUGGCAACCGUGGGGGGCACACCUGUUGAUAUGCAGAUUGGUUUGGGCCUUGCCUUGCCCAAAUCGAACCCUCUUGAAGUUAUCAUAAAACCUCGCCUCGCUGAGGAUCUUUUUCGAUGCAUUUGAAGAUUUUAUCAUUUUAAACGAUCAUUUACGUGUAUUAUCAGAAAGAACUAAUGUGAAGGCGACUAAUGCGCAAUAACAUUUUUUCUAAGUGAAGGAUCUUUUUCGCUAAGAACUAAAUGAUAAUACACGUAAUUCAACAGACACGUAAUCAAAGGUCAUUUGUAGAAAGCUACAAAAGACCCAUAUCUAUAUUAAUUAUGAUUUAUCCUAAUUUAAAUAGAAAAGUUUAUUUUAAUAAGAUAUAUAUUUAGAUUAGAGGAAUACAACUCAAAUAAGCUAUGCCUAAUUAAUGAAACUCUAAAUAGAAAACCUAAUUAAAGUAGAAUACAAAUUAAUUAAGUCAUUCCUAAAUAUUAUAAAUUUCAAUCUAAUUAGAAUUUCUUCAAUUUGCUCGUCACAUUUGGUCUCUUUUUUUUUUUUUUUUUUCUAUACAUAUGGUGAAAAAUGGUAACUGUCCAUUAAUUAAUAACAUUUUUUUUUUUUUAAUAAAUCUCGUUUGAAGUAGGGGGUGGGCACCACCACCCCAUGAAACCAACGUAACCCAUUAAUUAAUAACAUUUUCUAAUAGAGUUGGACUAUUGACAUCCCUCCAAAAUCCUUUUAAAACCCCUUUCCAUUACAAUUAUAUUUAAGAAUAAAUACUCUAUUUUAUCUCACUUCAAACUUUUGUAUUUUCUCUACUAUCAAACUCGCACAUGUAAUUUUUUUUUCUCAAAUUCUCUAUAAUUUUUUCUUCAAUUACUAAGACAAUCUAUUGGUAAUAAACAAAAUACAUUCUGACAAAAUUAUCUGCCUUUUUUUAAGGCUCAUAAUAAAACUUUUUACAUCAUAAUUUUAUAGAUAUUUUAUUUAAUUAAUUGAUUUUUAUCAAGAAAUUUAUCACCCAUAAACGUUUGUUUGUGAGGAGCGAGAAAAUAAUAGAAAAUUAAAAGAUUCACAAAUUAAAUGUGUUUAUUUAGAAUAAGGGUAUUUUUGGCAUUAAUUUUAGCAUUAUUGAAAAAUGGGUUUCAUAAGAAUUUUGGAGGGGUGCCAAUAGUCCAACUCUUUUUAAUAAAUUCCAUGAUCACAAAUUAAAGACAACCACACACGGCCAAAACUCAUGUCGCUCCACCUAGAGCUGGCAAAAUUUGACACGACCUGAUUAACCAACAUGAGCACGACACGAAUAAACAUGUAUGAGUUGUCAAAUUUAACAGAUUAUUAAAUGGGUUGGAUCUUGGUUGAUACGAUUUUUUUCUGUAUUGGGUUAGGGUUAAAAUUUUUGAUCUAUUUUUUAUUCUUGAUCAAUGACAAUAUUAUAUUUUUUUAUUUAAAAUUAAUUUAUAUGUUUUUAUCAUCAAAACUCAAAUAUUGGAUGUGAUUAUCUAUUUUUUUUAAGGAUGAACAUAUAUACAAUAUUUAAUUUAUAAAAUUUUAUUUAGAUUUAGAACUCUAAUAGUAUAAAUAUGUAAAAUGUUAGUAGACAUGUAUAUUUUAUAAUAUUGAUAUAUCAUAUUAUUUACAUAUAUAUAAUUAAAACUUCAAUAGUAUAAAAUGUGUAAUAUUUUGGUACAUAUGUAUAAUUUAUAAUAUCAAUAAAUUUUUGUGUGCCCAAUAACUCUCUUAAUAUUUAUAUGUUUAAUAUUAAACAUAUAAAUAUUAAGAGAGUUAUUGGGUAACUUAUUUAUUUUCUAUACCGAAUUUGAAUCUUAAUAUUUUGACACGAUUAUUAAAUAAGUCAUAUUUGACAUGAUUAUUAAAUUUAAUACGAUACAAAACUGAUACGACACAAACAUGACUCGAUCAUCCAAUUUAACAGCCGGGGCUUCACCAGCCACUACCAGAAGAUCCAUACUUGAAAUGAUCCUUCAAUUUCAUCAAUUUUCAGUUCGCAGGAUAGAUCCAUGGCCCCACCAAAAUGUCGCCUGCCACAUGUUCACAAUCAUAGCCAUUUCUCACUUUCAUACUCGAUAGUGAUACGGGUUUUAACUUGGUCUGUAUCUAUUUAAUAGUUUUGAGUAAUUACACCGUACGACCUUUGGCUUUAAAGUGUAAACAAAACCAGCAUCAAAAUAUAAUUGCAAAAAAAUCAAUGUUAUUUUUGAAAAUUUUAUAUUAGAAUAAAUCAAUUAAAUCUCUCUCUUUAUUUUCUUUUCUUUUCAAUUUAAGGUCUAUUGAUGAUUGAAUUUGAUCACUAAAAUUGUUUUAAUAUAAAAAUAAGGUUAGUUGAACUCACUUAAAUACUUAAUAUACUCACUUUUUAAUAAAAAAAAAUUAUUACUAAAUUACUUGUUGUGUAAUUUACUCUUAAGUACAACACAGUAAAGUUAAAUAAAAUAUUUUCAUCUUGCAUCCAUUAUAUAGAUAUAAUUAUCAUAAUACAUUUUUUCCAUCCAACAUUAAUUAUCGACACUUUUUUUCCCAUGCGAAUGGACCUUGAUUACGUGUCUUUUUUGCUAAGAACUAAACAAUCAUUAAAUGUUCAUUUACAUAAUUCAAUUUCUCAAAAGGUUAUUGCUAUUCAUGUAAAUGAUCGUUUAAAAUGAUAAUACACGACUAAUGCGACUAAUGUGCACAUUAGUGGGUUAUCACAAACAAACUCAAUUUUUUUUCUAAGUGAAGGCCACUAAUGUGCAAUUAUAACUCUUGAAGUAUUUUUCAAUUUUGAUUUUCCAUGCCAGCUGAGUUUGUCUUAUUUAGCUAUUGUAUUUGAGUUUUUUUUUUUUUCUUUUUUUUGGGUUAUCUUAGUUUGUUUGCCUUAUUUAAUUAAUUUCAAAAUAGCCUACUAUAAAUGGAAUUGAAUUUUCAAACCUUAUAUAAGAUGGUAAUUCAGUUUUUUUUUUUUUUUUUGAAUUUUACUUUUUAAGAGUAGUGCUAUUUUGAACAAAGAGCAUAUUAAGUGAUCACAGUUUAGUUUAUACAGUAGGAAAGAAAUAACCGAAGGAAGAAAAAGCAAGAAAAAUCUUAAAGAGUAUUCCAGUUUAGUAGUCACCCACUCUUUAUUUGUUAACUUUUAUUUUUAAUAGAAAUAAUGUUGAUCUAAUUUCAACAAAUUCAGUAAACUCCUAGAAGUGCAAUAAUUAUGAGAUUUAGCUCGUUAAACAUGUUAAAACAGCAUAACAUCACAUUUUAUUCUAUUUUCUCUACUCUGCCGAACCAUGAGAUAAUCUAUUCAUUGCAAGUAGACCAACAAACCUUCAAGACCACAAAUUCCGAAGCAUAAUAAAAUUAAUUUGGCCACAAAAAAAUAAAAUCCUCUAACCUAAACCAACGAAGUAUGGACAUACAGCAGAUCUUUCAACAGCUGCCUUGGAAGAAAACAAAUCGUUUUUUACCACAGAAAUGAUUUCAUCUGCGCAACAGCCAUAGCCUAAGAUUUUUUUUUGAAAAAUUAUGGACCGGUCACUUAUUUUUUUUAAAUUUUUUUUUACUGGAAUCUAUAUUAAGUUAUAUAUAUUUUUACUUAUCCACUUCUAUUUGGAGAUCGUUUUGAAAACUAACGGAAUAUUGUAUAAAUAAUUUUUUUACUCUUAAAUAUAAAAGAUAAAUUAUCUACCGACCACUUUUUUUUUUCGUAUUUUUUCAAAAAUGCACUAUUCUUAAUUUUUUUUUUUUACUAAACUCCACUUGAAGUUAUAUUGUUUUGCACCUAUCCACUACUGUAUCAUUGUGAAAUGAUAAUUUUACCCUUAUGAUGUCAGUAAAUUUCUAACGGUGUUAUAACGAGAGUGGACCAAUGAAAAAAAUAUUAACUUUAGGUGGAGCACUGUAAAAAAAAAAAUUAUGUAUUUUUAAAAAACGGUAAAAAAAACAAGUGAACAGUGAAUAAUUUCCCUAUUUUUUUUAAGCAAUCACUAUCUUAGAGCUGCUUUAAAAUAUAACACAAAUCACAACCAUACACAUGUAAAGUGAUAAAUAAUAAAAAAUAAAUUAUAAAUUUAAUCACGUGGAUUUUAAUGCGUUUUCUAUCUUAGAGCAGUUUCAACGUAACCAAAUUCUUUUUUUUUAAUAUGCUUCACGAAAUCUCCACCUCACAAAUAAAAUAAGGAAAUAUGUAAAGUAUUAUUUGACUGACGCCUACCUAAUAACUCAAAAUCUAUUAUAAAUAGUAGUGCAAGUCAUAUGUAGCUUCGCCACAACACUCUCCCUAAACCACCAUGGAUUUUAUUUCUUUCAAGCUACCAAUUUUGGAGCUCUUAGCUUUGCUGAUUCUUUAUUUCUUAUGGGGAAUCGUAGCAAAAUCCAAAAACAAAAGCAAGAAAAAUACAGCCCCCGAACCAUUUGGGGCAUGGCCACUCAUCGGCCAUUUGCCUCUUCUGAUUGCCGAAGAACCUGUUUGCAAAAUACUCGGAGCCAUUGCUGACAAAUAUGGCCCCAUCUACUCCCUCAGGCUCGGCAAGCAUCCAACGUUGAUUGUGAGCAGUUGGGAAAUUGUGAAGGAUUGCUUCACUACCAAUGACAGAGUUUUGGCCACAAGGCCAAGUAUAGCAGCAGGCAAGUACUUGGGUUACGACAACGCCGUUUUUGCGCUUGCUCCCUACGGCCGGUACUGGCGUGAUAUUCGCAAAAUAGCCACCACAGAUCUGCUCUCCAGUCACCGGCUUGAAUUGCUAAAGCACGUUCGCUACUCAGAAGUUGACACUUUCAUCAAAGACUUGUACUCACGUUGCUCAGAAAACGCAUUCAAUCCUGCGAAGGUGGUGAUCAGCAAGUUAAUAGAACAACUGACUUUCAAUAUAAGCCUACGACUGAUAGCCGGAAAGAGAUUUUCAGCUAGAGAAUUUGGUGAACAAGGCAGCGAGGGAUGGCGUAUCAAUAGAGCCAUAAAAGAAGCUACGUAUCUGACAGGGGUUUUUGUUUUGGGAGAUGCCAUACCGUGGCUUGAAUGGAUUGAUUUUCAGGGUCACAUAGGCUCUAUGCGGAGGACUGCAAAGAAAAUUGACGACGUGAUCGGCAACUGGCUUGAAGAACAUGCCCAGAGAAAAUUACAGGGUGAAGGUGACUUCAUGGACGUGUUGCUAUCGAAAAUUGAAGACAAUACUGUGAUGAGUGGUCAUACAAGGGAUACUGUCAUCAAGGCAACAGCUCUUGUAAGUUUGAUUGUAUAAUUUUCUGUUUUCUAUAAUGAUAAUUAUUCAAUGGUAAACAAUUGAGACGGAAACUCAUACAACUAAUCAAAAUUAUUCUGUAGAUUCUAAUAUUUACAGGCUCAGAAAGCACAUAUCUCGGAAUAAUUUGGACACUGUCUUUGUUACUCAAUCACCCGAAAGAGCUAAAGAAGGCACAGGAAGAGUUGGACGUCCAUGUUGGAAGAGAUAGAUGGGUAAACGAGUCAGAUAUGAAGAACCUAAAAUACCUUCGAGCCAUUGUCAAAGAAACUCUGCGGAUUUACCCACCGGGUCCUGUAACAGGAAUUCGGGAAGCCAUGGAAGAUUGUGAAAUUGGUGGCUAUCAUGUCCCGAAAGGCACGCGUUUGAUCGUGAACGUAUGGAAGCUGCA
rnacentral:lncRNA from 1 species